rnacentral:tRNA from 1 species
GCCCUCGUAGCUCAGCAGGAUAGAGCAUCGGUUUCCUAAACCGAAGGUCACAGGUUCGAAUCCUGUCGGGGGUA